rnacentral:rRNA from 1 species
UAAUUUUUGUGAAAUUAAAUAUUUUCUUUCUUUUUUAGUUUUUAGGGUAAAAUCGGAAAACCUAAAAGAUUUUUAUUUAAUUUAUAAGAUUUGAAAAACAAACCAGAUUAGUACCUGGUUAGACAAAAUUCAAAAUAGCAGGAGUAAAGUAAUGUUUAAACUGUAAGGAUAUUGGCAGGCCCUAUAAAUUAUCUUUGGAGGUUGAGUAGUAAUUGAGAACCCCCAUUUUCAUCUUUUGUUUUUGGCGCAUGUAUGAUCGUUUAUUUUAUUCUUAAGGAUUGUAACCAAAAAUUUUUAUUUAUAAAAACAGAUAAAUACCUGGUUUAUACAAGAGUUUAAAUUUGACCUACAAUAUAUUAUUAUUUGGAUCUUUGCUUGAGAGAGCAUGGUGAAACUGUAAAAGACAGUAAGCUAUUUUUAAUAUAUAGUUGAAGUUUAUCUAUUGGCGGUACAAAUCAUC